rnacentral:rRNA from 1 species
AACGCGAAGAACCUUACCAAGUCUUGACAUCCCCCUGACCGUUCCGUAAUGGGAACUUCUCUUCGGAGCAGGGGAGACAGGUGGUGCAUGGUUGUCGUCAGCUCGUGUCGUGAGAUGUUGGGUUAAGUCCCGCAACGAGCGCAACCCUUAUCCUUAGUAGCCAGCAGGUAAAGCUGGGCACUCUAGGGAGACUGCCAGGGAGAACCUGGAGGAAGGUGGGGAUGACGUCAAAUCAUCAUGCCCCUUAUGACUUGGGCUACACACGUGCUACAAUGGCGUAAACAAAGGGAAGCAGCCCUGUGAAGGUGAGCAAAUCCCAAAAAUAACGUCUCAGUUCGGAUUGUAGUCUGUAACUCGACUACAUGAAGCUGGAAUCGCUAGUAAUCGCGGAUCAGAAUGCCGCGGUGAAUACGUUCCCGGGUCUUGUACACACCG